CUACGGGAGGCUGCAGCCGAGGAAAUUUUGCAAUGCACGAAAGUGUGACAAAGCAAGUCAGAGUGUUUCUCAAUUUUGAGAAACUUUCGCCAAAUGUAAAAAGUUUGGCGAAUAAGGACUGGGCAAGACAGGUGCCAGCCGCCGCGGUAAUACCUGCGGUCCAAGUCGCAGCCACAAUUAUUGGGUCUAAAACAUCCGUAGCUUGCUAUGAAAGUUUUCUGUUAAAUCAUGUUUCUUAAGAACAUGCUGCAGAAAAUACUUCACAGCUAGAGACCGGCAGACGUAAGGAGUACGGCAGAGGUAGUGGUAAAAUACGUUAAUCUUUGUCGGACUAACAACAGCGAAGGCACCUUACGAGGACGGAUCUGACAGUAAGGGAUGAAGGCUAGGGGCGCAAAACGGAUUAGAUACCCCUGUAGUC
rnacentral:rRNA from 1 species